AUGUACAUCCCAUGCAAUGUGAGGGGUUUCUUAGCCGAUUAUAUCGAGGAGCACAGGAAUAUUGCAACAACUUUCAAGCACAAGAGGACUGAGCCUGCUAUUCUCACUUAUGAGAGUAGAUCUUAUGCUUCAGACUUUAAGCAUCGAGGGAACUACUCAAAGUUUUCUGGCAGUGCUUGGUUUGAGUUCAGCAACGAUUAUGCCCUUCGUGCUGGAGAUCAUAUGGUAUUUACUCUGGACAGCUCAUGCUUUGACCUCAAAGUAGAGACUUUCCGUGAUGGCGAAAGGAUUCUUCCUUUACCUUCUGCUGCUUUUGAAAACCCGAGUAAUGCAAGGUACGAGCUAGUUUGCUCUGCUGUGACGCCCCGUGGCUUGGAGUUCAACUAUCACAACAACCGCUCAUUUGUACGUUCACUUUUCCGGAUUUCAACCUUCGUGCGCUGUGUUCCGUUCGUCCAUGUCAUGACUGCCACAAAUAUUGUGAAGUUCAUCAUGAAAAUCCCAAAGGUCGUUGUCUCUAGCUUGAGGAGCUUUGUUGACAUGCCAAUCAGUGCUAGAAUCUCUCUGGAAGCUUACCUGGGUGAUACACAUGUUAUCAUGCCAUCAUCUUUCAAGCUGUGCAAGCAAGAUGUGAGGAUGGUGAUCGAGAAGACCAGUUUCAGCGAGUUCAUCUCAGCCACUUCGUACGCAAAAGACAAUGUUGUGCUCAUCACUUUGAAUGAGUCAACUUAUGAUCGUUCAGUUUCAAUUGUCUUCCAGCGGCUUCUGUAG
rnacentral:rRNA from 1 species